rnacentral:rRNA from 1 species
GACGAACGCUGGCGGCGUGCUUAACACAUGCAAGUCGAACGGAAAGGCCCUGCUUUUGUGGGGUGCUCGAGUGGCGAACGGGUGAGUAACACGUGAGUAACCUGCCCUUGACUUUGGGAUAACUUCAGGAAACUGGGGCUAAUACCGGAUAGGAGCUCCUGUUGCAUGGUGGGGGUUGGAAAGUUUCGGCGGUUGGGGAUGGACUCGCGGCUUAUCAGCUUGUUGGUGGGGUAGUGGCUUACCAAGGCUUUGACGGGUAGCCGGCCUGGGAGGGUGACCGGCCACAUUGGGACUGAGAGACGGCCCAGACUCCUACGGGGGGCAGCGGUGGGAAAUAUUGCACAAUGGGCGGAAGCCUGAUGCAGCAGCGCCGCGUGCGGAAUGACGGCCUUCGGGUUGUAAACCGCUUUCGCCUGUGACGAAGCGUGUGUGACGGUAAUGGAUAAAGAAGCACCGGCUAACUACGUG